GACAGAGGGUGCAAACGUUGUUCGGAUUUACUGGGCGUAAAGCGCGCGUAGGCGGCCUCAUAAGUCCGUUGUGAAAGUCAAAGGCUCAACCUUUGAAAGCCGAUGGAUACUGUGAGGCUAGAGUCCGGAAGAGGCGAGUGGAAUUCCUGGUGUAGCGGUGGAAUGCGCAGAUAUCAGGAGGAACACCAAUAGCGAAGGCAGCUCGCUGGGACGGUACUGACGCUAAGGCGCGAAAGCGUGGGGAGCGAACAGG
rnacentral:rRNA from 1 species